CGUAACGUUUAUAUUGCACCUUGAGUCAUCUGGCUUUUUUCUCAGGGCGGGGGAAUUACAUAUUGUGACUGGUCUGCAUUCUUGACAAGUUUUAGAAGCGAGCCAGUUCUGAUCGGAUCAAUAAUUAGGUCUAAUUCUGAUACUAACUGUAACGAGUAAGCGCUUACCCACUUAUUCAAAAAUUUAAUUUAUUAAAUAAUGUUACAUACCUACCUAUUUAUACUCAUUUCACUUUUCACCCGAAUUCGUUGCGACACAAGUACCCCUUGUAGCAACUUAACUCAUACUGUUAGCAAAAUUGUCAAACUAAAGGAGACGCAAGUGGUCGAGGUAGGUGACUUGGCAUCACAGAGCGAGAUAUUUUUAAUUAAUUGUUGUUAUUUUGCGUGCAAAGUGGCUAAUUAUUUUUAAUGUCUUGUUAAAUGCAUGGCUCUUAUAUAAAGUCAGUUCAUCUAUUAUAUAUACCAUACCCUUGGACCUGGGUAGUCCAUAAACUCUAGAGCAGAUAGAGCUAAGCAAAUUACAGUAUUAUUCACACGAUGAUUUGCUCAAUGGCUCAGGUAGGCAGCUUCAUGCCCAAGACCUUGCUCCUUAUGCCCACCUCCAAACCCUUUCAGCGCAGAAAUAUGAUUAUAUGCGCUGCAAAUCCGAGGCCAAAGGUCAUUCCGGGAAGAAAUCCUCCACAAACCAACCGCGAGCUCACUUCAAUUAAUGACGAGAAAAUAAGAAAAAGUAGCUUGGGUAACAAAGAAGAUAAUAAAAAAGCCAAAGGAGAUGAUGGCAGUGCGGUGAAGAAUGAGGCCACCGAUCACUAAUGCAAGUUGGCUAGAGUUUAUUAUAUAUAUAUCUAUAUUAGAAUAAUUAAUAUAUAGUUAGUUUGAAAGGUGCGUUUGUGAAACUACAUGUGAUGUGAUCAUGUGAGUCAUGUGACUACUGUUGUAAUAUAUGUUUGAACACUAUUUUUCUUUUUCUUUUUUCUUUUUUUUUUGUCCUUUUUGGUUCGUAGGAGUAUAUAUAGCAGAUGUACAAGAUAUACUCCUUAGUACCGUGUGUGGUGGGAUGUUUCGUUCUGCAUGGAAUAAUUAUGAUUUGCAUAGGGGUA